UAAAGAAGACACUGGCAUGAAUCACUCUCUGGCGUCUCAGCUCUUCAGUGUCGAUCUCCUCUUCGGCGCUGAUCUCCUUGAAAAACAUCUCAUAUGAUCUAAGUGUUGGGAGCUAAGGAUGGAAACAUUUCUGUUGCUUCUGCAUUUGCUGGUUACCAUGAAGCUGUGCAGGAUAGAGACCACAAAUUCUUAACAAAAGCUGUUGAAGAAGCAUAUAAGGGGGUAGAAUGUGGAGAUGGAGGCCCAUUUGGUGCAGUUGUUGUUCGUAAUGAUGAAGUUGUUGGGAGCUGUCACAACAUGGUAUUGAAAAACACUGAUCCAAUU